UAACAAUGAUUUCCUUAGUAACGGCGAGUGAACAGGAAAAAGCUCAAAGUUGGAACCUGUUUGGCCUAGCUAAACCGGAUUGUAAACUGUAGAAGUGUUUUCCAGGCAAGCCGGACCGAUAAGUCCUUUGGAACAGGGCAUCAUAGAGGGUGAGAAUCCCGUCUUCGGUCUGAGCAUUUGCCUUUUGCGAUACACUUUCAAAGAGUCAGGUUGUUUGGGAAUGCAGCCUAAAUUGGGUGGUAAAUCUCACCUAAAGCUAAAUAUUGGCGAGAAACCGAUAGCGAACAAGUACCGUGAGGGAAAGAUGAAAAGAACUUUGAAAAGAGAGUUAAACAGUAUGUGAAAUUGUUAAAAGGGAACCGUUUGGAGCCAGACUGGCUUGUCUGUAAUCAGUCUAAGCUUCGGCUUGGAUGCACUUGCAGGCUAUGCCUGCCAACGACAAUUUGGCUUGAGGGAAAAAACUAAGGGAAAUGUGGCCCAUCCGCGGGUGUUAUAGUCCCUUAGAAAAUACCUUGGGCUGGAUUGAGGUACGCAGCGAAUGCUAUUUGGCGAGUUGGCUGGGAAUAUUUUCUGAGGUGCUUUGGUACUGAGGUUGAUAUUCCUAGUUACACUUCUAUUCGCUUAGGUUGUUGGCUUAAUGACUCUAAAUGA
rnacentral:rRNA from 1 species